AUACGGAGGAUGCGAGCGUUAUCCGGAUUUAUUGGGUUUAAAGGGAGCGUAGGCGGGAGCCUAAGUCAGCGGUUAAAUGGUGCGGCUCAACCGUGCCCUGCCGUUGAAACUGGGUUUCUUGAGAGUGCAAGAGGCGGAUGGAAUUCAUGGUGUAGCGGUGAAAUGCUUAGAUAUCAUGAAGAACUCCGAUUGCGAAGGCAGUCCGCUGGGGCACGUCUGACGCUGAUGCUCGAAGGUGCGGGAAUCAAACAGGAUUAGAUACCCUGGUAGUCCGCACGGUAAACGAUGAUUACCCGCUGUCGGCGGUAGACAGUCGGCGGCCAAGCGAAAGCGAUAAGUAAUCCACCUGGGGAGUACGCCGGCAACGGUGAAACUCAAAUGAAUUGACGGGG
rnacentral:rRNA from 1 species